rnacentral:rRNA from 1 species
AUGUACAUGGAUACAGUGUUAAUGCAUCGGAUCCCAUUAGAAAUCCAUAGUUAAGUGCACUUGGGAUAGACUAGUACUGGGAUGGGUGACCUCCUGGGAAGUCUUAGUGUUUUACAUG